UCCCGGGUUCAUCGAGCAGGCUUUUUUUUCUUUUUUCUUUUUUUUUUUUUUGAGAGAGAAAGCAGGCUCGGUGUUGUCAGCACAGAGACCGAUGUGGGGCUCGAACUCACCAACUGUGAGAUCAUGACCUGAGCCAAAGUCAGAUGCUUAACCAACUGAGCCACCCAGGUGCCCGGAGCAGUUUGUGAUAGUGAAGGUAGAGGAGCCAGUGCCUGUUCUGGAGGAAACACCCAGGUCUGAGAGAUCAGUGCUUUCAGUGCCCAGGAGCCUCAGGCCUCUGAAAGCCUUGAGCUUUGCUUCCAGUGACUUAUCUUCUCCCUAAAGGAGAGUUGAGGUAUUGUGAGCCGGGCACCUGCUCAGGGGGCCUAAAAUACAACAGGGAAAGGGCUUUGCAGAUGGGCUGAUACCUGAGGGGGUUGGGCUUGGAUGCUUCUGAGCAGGGAGCUCAUGGGGAGGGUAUCAUGGGAUAGAGAGAGGGACAGAGACCUUCAAACAGGUGUUUUUUGGAGGGGUGGGAAGAUGUGUCCUGGCCUCUAUGGAGAGUGGUUGGGGGGACCAAAGCUGUCAAGGGGGGACACUCUGAUCCUCUCUUCUGAGAGCAAAGUUGAAAAAGUUUCCCCUCCUAAGACCCUCUCGAAACCCUGCGUUUCUCCUCUCUGUACUCUCUUCCCUUCCACCAUACACUUCAUUGAAGGAGUAAUCAAAAUUUAUUGUCCUGGUUUUUAUUCCAUUUGCUCUCCGGUCUGUGAGAAUAAGUUUCUGCUCCGCUGUUGACUCAUGCUUCGGGUGGACAGUAUUAACCGAGACUCUACUAUGUGCCACACACACACUGGGUGUUGGGAACACAGCCAAGCAGUUCCUGGUGUUUAGGACCUUCCUUGUGUCUAGUAGGGCAGGAAGACCUUUAUACAGCGACAUGACUAAAUGUGAGAUGUGGUGCUAUGAGAGUGAAGUGACAGGUAGAUGUGACCUAGCUGUUGGGUCACGAUAGUGUCUUAUGGUUACUUCAUUGCCAAAUCCUAUAGGUGCUUUACAGUUGUGGCAUGACUAUGAGAUUGCCCUUGAGAGAGUCUCCAUGGAGUGCUCUAAGGGGCAAGAGAGCCGGAACAGAAUGGGGCACCUAAAGCCAAAGGCUCAGAGAGUUUUGUGGAGCAUUUUGGGGGUCUCUCUGCCUAGCAUGCCUUCUUUUCCCCUGUGGUUGACUACCACCUAUUGUUUAUUAGACCAAUUCAAAUCGGGCCUUUUUUAGUAAGAUCCUCCCAAAUCCUUCCACUCCCAUCCCACUGGCCUACUCUGUAGGCUAUACUAUACAGUGCUAUGUACCUACACUAACUCUUUGCAUAUUGGGCUGGGAUGUAUUCUUCGUGUCUGGAUACUUUUCACUCUUGGAAGUCAGGAGAGCAGGGAGCCAGGCAGGGUGUGGUCUGAUUCAUCCUCUUAUGCUCCUGCCCUGCACUAACCCAUGCACACACCCAGCCUUGUAUUGUAGAAGGGAGGGAGGAAGGAUGAAUGGACAGAUGGACCAGCAGAUGCCUCUGAAGUCAUUUGCAGACGCACCCUCGUUCUGCAGAGGCAGUGAGGUAUUGUUGAAGGUGCAGUGCCAUGAGGAUUUGGACCCGGAUUUGGGGCCUGGCUGAGUCACUGAGAGUUAUGUCUUUGCCGUGUGUAUGUUUGCGCCCACCUUUCCAAUGGGUGAAACAAGAAAAUUCCGUGAUUCCAUGUUGAAGCCUCCUUAGAAGUACUCUAAACUUCUCUCUCUUCAAGGCAGCUCUUGAUCAUCUCUAAGCUAGAACCAGUGUUUGUUGUCAGAUCCACAACUCUUUCCAGGCUGCCCGGUGUGAGGCCGGCAACUAUUUGGUGUGCACGUUUUAUAAAGACAGAAUGCUCCCCUUAGCUUCAGUGAAAUGACUGGUUGGAGUCAUUUGGUUGGAUAGAAGUUUGGACAGCUGCCCAGGUCAGGAAUGGUGAAAAGGAACCACUGCUUUCCUUGGUCUCUUUGCUCUCAGAAGCCAAGAUAAAUGCCAUCCCGACCCUCUGCCCACAGCUAUCCCUUUUUCUUAGGAAAGGAUUUGGCUCCUUCCAGCUCAGUGCCUCUGUACAUAAGCUUUUGCUCUGCCUGGGAGAUGCUUCUAACCCCUAAGGACCUGCCCUGGUUGUUAGACUAUAAUCUAAACUGACAACAGACGUUCUGGUUUUUUAAAAAAGUCCUAUCAUUUCCAUCCUUUCCAUUCAGCAUCUUCCCUCAUUGUUCCCUCCCCCAGCCUAUCAUCCCCCUUCCUAAGUUGAUAGUGAGUCUUAUUAAGUGGUGCUGUGUCAUAAAGUGUUGAGUUGUGUCAGCUGGAAAUGGAACAUGAUUAAGUAUAUAAAGGAGCCCCAGCCUCGCCUGCCACAACAUUAUACAACAGAAACCUUGGCAGUGUGCUAACAUCUUUUCUUUCUCUCUUUCCUGGGGAGCAGCGAGCCCGCCUCUCACCAUGUGGGUCCAGUUGUUGGUCCUGGGCUCAAGUCGGCCAAGUGCAGAGAAGCAAGCUAACAGGAGAGAGAAAAAAGGUUCCAGCUCUGUUAUAUAACGGCACUACAGUAACGCACCCCGGUCCUUGGCAGCCCUGUAAAUUCCUCCUCUCUGAAUUGUUGGUUCGGGACAAUCAUUCAGCAGGGAAUUACUUUCUCAUCUAUGAAAUAAAUGAGAUGUUAAACUA